UUCAUUCUUCUAGCGAUGAGUCACUGCUGCCAUCUUGUUCCCAUGCUUCCUGCAAGGAGGAGAGAGGAGGCAGCAAUCCUGGAGAAAGGGGACUGAAUCAACAGUGGGAUGAAGAACCAAGACAAAGGAACUGGGCCAGCAAGUGGUAGCUCAGCAUUUGAACCAACAAAGUUUGCCUCCAGAAUCUGGACUUACUCACUGCAUUGUAUUUCCCUUUGAACAGUGAAGAAUUUCUGGACAGACCGGAUGUUUCCCAGUUAAGGAAGGAGAGCAGGUCUUACCUGCUGUUAUUGCUCCACUUUGAAGGGAGAUUGUCCUCACAGCCUUCUUUCACACUUUCAGACCUGAAAUUGCAGGGUGAAAAACUUGUAUAUUUGCAACCACUUAUUUGUGUGAAUUAAGAUUCUCUCAAUACUGUGCAACUAACACAAAAUUUAAAAAGACAUUGAAUGAGCAUCAUUCACAGUUGCCAAGAUAUAGAAGCAACCUAAGUGUCCACUGACAGAUGAAUGAGUAAAGACAAUGUGGUGUAUGUAUA